GGAGAGGUGUCCGAGCGGCUGAAGGAGCGGCACUGGAAAUGCCGUAUGCGGGUAACCGCAUCGGGGGUUCGAAUCCCCCCCUCUCCG
rnacentral:tRNA from 1 species